rnacentral:rRNA from 1 species
CCUACGGAGGCAGCAGUGAGGAAUAUUGGUCAAUGGCCGGAAGGCUGAACCAGCCAAGCCGCGUGAAGGACGAAGGUGCCAAGCAUUGUAAACUUCUUUUGUCAAGGGACAAAAUCAGGCUCGAGAGCCUGACCGAGGGUACUUGAAGAAAAAGCAUCGGCUAACUCGGUGCCAGCAGCCGCGGUAUUCCGGAGGAUGCGAGCGUUAUCCGGAUUUAUGGGGUUUAAAGGGUGCGUAGGCGGACUGUUAAGUCAGCGGUAAAAGCCCGGGGCUAAACCCCGGCGAGCCGUUGAAACUGGCGGUCUUGAGAUGGCGAGAGGUAUGCGGAAUGCGCAGUGUAGCGGUGAAAUGCUUAGAUAUUGCGCAGAACUCCGAUUGCGAAGGCAGCAUACCGGCGGCGAUCUGACGCUGAGGCACGAAAGCGUGGGGAUCGAACAGGAUUAGAUACCCGUGUAGUC